UUUUGGUCAGUGAAAGAUGUUUGGGUCUUUAUGGAUUACUUUAAGAAAGAUUUUGUGUUGUUUCAGUUAUGUACAAUAUAUGCCUUAGCUUUAUGUCAUAGUGAUGUAUAACACUUGCCUCUAUAUAUGUGCCAAGUUUGAAGUAAAUUGAAACAAAAUUGCUGUUUUUGUAGACAUUUAAAAUUUUGGCCAU